AAAAAAAGUAAAGACCCAAAUAUUAAAAUAAAAUAAAAUAAAAUAAAAACAAAAACCUCACUAAAAAGAAUAAAGAAAAAGCCAAAUUCCAGAACUCCCCACCCCACCAUCUCCACCAAGACAGAUAUCCAUUCCUUUACUUUUAAUAUUACUGCUGCAAUGACCUUUUGACCCCAUUAAAUAGAUUUGUUUCAUCUUACUGACAUAGAAGGGAGAUUUCUGAUUAUUAAGAAAAGUUUUUUUUUUUUUUUUUCAAGCUUCUCUCUUUCUCUCUCUCUCACAGAAAUUCCUUUCUUUUUGCCCUGCUGUCUUUUUUUUUUAUUUUCUUAAUUUGCAAUUUUAAUUAUCUAAAGAAAUAAUUAUUAAAAUUUAUAUUUUUGCUGCUGUUUUAUUGAAAAUGAGUGAAAAGAUAAAGAAAAAAAUAUCUUGUAAGACUGAAAUAAACUAUAAAAUGAACAAAUACUGUUUGUCCCUUGUCCCCAUCACACACUCACACACAUAUGCAUUUAUGUACAUACAUGCAUAUAUUAUAUGUGUGUAUACACAUACACAUACAUAUAUAUAUAAAUCAUGUUGCACUUGGUCAUGUGAUCAACUUGGUUCUACUCUACUGCUUUUUGUCUUUGUCUUAAUGUCCAUACAGAGGUGAUAUCAUUUACAUAUGACCCUUAAGCCUUUACAUAUGACCCUUAAAUUGUUAGAUGUAACUCUUAUAUUGUUAAAUAUGACCCUUAAAUCUUUACUUAUGACCUUUGGAACAUUAGAUAUAACUCCUAAAUCUGACUCUUAAAUUGUUAGAUGUGAUCCUUAAAUUGUUAAAUAUGACCCUUAAAUUUUUACAUAUGACCCUUAAAUUGUUAGAUAUGACCUUUAAAUCAUAAGGUAUGAUACUUAAACCUUUAGGUAUGAUACUUAGAUCUUUAAACAUGACCCUUAAAUCUUUACAUAUGGCCCUUAAAUUGUUAAAUAUAACCCUUAAAUUUUUAUAUUAAUUGUUACAUAUGAUCAUUAAAUUGUUAUGUAUGGCCCUUAAAUUGUUAAAUAUGACCCUUAAAUCUUUGAAUAUGUCUCUGAAAUUAUUUCCUCUUGUUGCAGGUGUUGCUUUAUAAACAGAGCAUCAUCCCUUAUUAUACAUCUCAGAAAUCCUUAUUGUAAAAGCCUGCCUAACUGCUUGGUUGCCAUUUGUAAUGUCGUCUCCCUUAAAAAAAAAAAAGGUGACUUUGUGUCAAAACUAAACUUCUUUAUGUAAAAAAACAAACAACUUCAUGUAUUAAAAAAAAUUGGCUAUUUUAUGUGGAAAAAAAAAAAAAGAAUACUUUCUGUAAAGAAACAGUUUACAUUUUGUACAAAAAAAAUUACUGUAUGUUAAAAAAAAAACAAGAAAAACAGUCCAGUUUGUGUCAGAAAAAAAUGCUUACAUCAUGUUUAAGCAGGCUGUUCUGUAUGCAACACCAAUAUUUGUUCAGUUAGUUUCCAUUAUGUGAAGCAGCUUAUAUAUUAUAUAAUUAUUACAAACAGGCCAGACUAUGUUGAGGCAGGCUACCAUUUGCAAAAACAGUCUCUGUGAUGAUGUGAAAUGAGCCAUUUUAUUUUUUAAAAGCAGACUGCCAUCGUUCAUAGCAGCGUCCAUUGUGUAAAGCAGCCAUUGUUGAUGUUGAUGUUGUUAUUGUUACUACUACUACUACUACUACUACUACUACUACUACUACUGUUGUUAUUUAAGGCGGUGAGCUGGCAGAAUUGUUAGCACUCUGGGCAAAAUGCUUAGCGGCAUUUCAUUCAGUUAUUUUACAUUCUGAGUUCAAAUUCUGCCAAGGUCAACUUUGCCUUUCAUCCUUUUGGGGUCAAUGAAAUAAGUACCAGUGAAACACUGGGGUCGAUGUAGUCGACUAGUUCCCUCCCCCUAAGUUUCAGGCUUUGUUCCUUUAGUAGAAAGAAAGAAUUAUUAUUAUUAUUAUUAAGAAAAGAAGAAGAGCGCAACUGUUAUUAGUAAUAAAUAGAGAUUGACUCUAUUUAUUAAAGUGAAAGUAAAACAAAUCAUUUUAAUAAACAGAGUCAGUCUCUAUUUAUAACCAACUAGCAGCAUAGCCCAGCAUUGCCCGGGUAUGUAAGAACCCCUAGUAGGCAACGACUUGCGGCUGCAGCUGCGAUUAGCAGAAGUAUGCUAAGGUUAUGUUGUCUGGUCAUGUUUUCUCUCGUUGACUGCUUGAAGUGGCGGAAUUUAUAAAUUUUUUUCAGAACUGGGGGAACUUUUCAAAAUUUUCGCUGCGUUAGUUUUGAAUUAUGACAUUGGGCUAUGUGUGUGUCAAGUUUCAUCAGAAUCGGUUGAAAGCCGUGGUCAGGGUGAGGGUACAACCUGACAGGCACACAGACAGACAACCUGCCUUUUAUAUAUAGAGAAGAUGCAUAUACUUCGGCAAUACAUAUACUAAAAUUGGAACGAUACAGAGAAGAUUAGCAAGGCCCCUGUGCAAGGAUGACACGCAAAUUCGUGAAGCGUUCAAUAUUUUUUUCAAAGGUGGUGCUCCAGCAUGGCCACAGUCAAAUGACUGAAACAAGUAAAAGAGUAAUAACAGUCGCUCUCUUCUUCUUUCUUCACCUUCGUGAAGAGUAACUUCAAUCUUGAAAUAUUAUUAUUGUUAUUAUUAUUAUUAUUAUUAUUAUUAUUAUUAUUAUUAUUCAUGCUUUCGUAUAAAUUCCUGUUAAUUUCUUAAUAAUUUCUUAACCCUUUAACUGCAAAAUUAAAUUUCGUAAUUAUUCCAGUAACGGUGUUAAAUAUCUUCUGCAAAACAGAAUCAGUAUUUUCUGUAAGUCCCAUUGCCUCAAUAAAUCUGUCAUAUGUGAACAGAAAGCAGUUCCAAACAUGACAUUCCCCAACAAAAGAUGAUACACUGGUAUAUAAAACUGUUUUCUGCAGUUAAGGCUAAUGAAAUUUUGAUUGGUUAUAUCUGAUUUCGGCAGUAAAAGGUUUAAUGUUUCUUUUUUAUAAAUUUAUUUAUUUAUUGAUACAAUGAAAUAUUUUCUAAAUUUUUUCACUCAGUUUAAUAAUUAUGAAGUUACUACUGAGU
rnacentral:lncRNA from 1 species